rnacentral:rRNA from 1 species
CCUACGGGUGGCAGCAGUGAGGAAUAUUGGUCAAUGGACGAGAGUCUGAACCAGCCAAGUAGCGUGAAGGAUGACUGCCCUAUGGGUUGUAAACUUCUUUUAUAUGGGAAUAAAACGUUCCACGUGUGGGAUUUUGUAUGGACCAUAUGAAUAAGGAUCGGCUAACUCCGUGCCAGCAGCCGCGGUAAUACGGAGGAUCCGAGCGUUAUCCGGAUUUAUUGGGUUUAAAGGGGGCGUAGGUGGAUUGUUAAGUCAGUUGUGAAAGUUUGCGGCUCAACCGUAAAAUUGCAGUUGAAACUGGCAGUCUUGAGUACAGUAGAGGUGGGCGGAAUUCGUGGUGUAGCGGUGAAAUGCUUAGAUAUCACGAAGAACUCCGAUUGCGAAGGCAGUUCACUGGACUGCAACUGACACUGAGGCUCGAAAGUGUGGGUAUCAAACAGGAUUAGAUACCCCUGUAGUC